rnacentral:misc_RNA from 1 species
UCCGGUUUAGACCGGCGGUCUCCCUAGACAUGAUAACUAAGGACAAGGGUUGCGCUCGUUGCGGGACUUAACUCAACACCUCACGGCACGAGCUGACGACAGCCAUGCAGCAUCUGUGCACGCUCUCUUGCGAGUCCCUUCUCUUACAAGUUGGUACCACGUGCAUGUCAAGCCGAGGUAAGGUUCUGCGCGUUGCAUCGAAUUAAGCCACAUCCUCCACCGCUUGUGCAGGCCCCCGUCAAUUUCUUUGAGUUUUAACCUUGCGGCCGUACUCCCCAGGCGGAUAACUUAAUGCGUUAGCUGCGCCACCGAAAGCCUAAGGCCCCCGACAGCUAGUUAUCAUCGUUUACGGCGUGGACUAC